UCCCUCUCAGGAUCACAUCUAGAGAGUUUCCAAUACUCUACCAGUCUCGUCUAAGGGAGGGAGAGUCGAGCAGAGGUAUACUCAUUUCAUUCCUAGCUUGGGCAGUGGCUAGCCAGUGAAAGGCAAACUGCUACAAGU